rnacentral:lncRNA from 1 species
CUCCGUCAUGCCAACUCCCGCAGACAAUGGCUGCUUUGUCCAGAAGAGAUGAUGAUUUAGAUGACAACCUGGCUUAAACCUCAGAAACCUUCAAUCUCUCCUUCUUCAAACAGUUUUUAUUAGAAGGAUGGCUGUGAAAAAUGAAGCCCUUAUGCACAAAGCCACCGCGUUUCACUGCGAUGUUCACCUGGCCUAUGAAGAUCUCCGGACACAAAACCAGGCAACAAAAUCAGGAUGCAACAAGAUGGAGGGGCAAAGCACAGAAGCGGAGUGGGCCCUGCCGUAGGUGAGGGUUGCCAUCCUCUUACACCUGCCGCUUCAUGCUUGAGCUCAGAAACCAUCAGCUGCCUGCCAGACUUUUAGGAAGGGGUGGGGCCUUGUGAACUUCUUCUCCCUCCAAUGCAGGAUGGUGAUGAGUCCAAUCUUGUGCAUGUCUCGUACACAGAAGAGCUGCAAGCUCAGGAACAAAACGGCCACAUCAUGCACAGAAGACAGUGCCCCAUGACAGAUACUCCAUUUCUUACUCAGACACCCACUCUGAGAAAACAGUUGACUUUCACUGGCCAUGAGAACCAUCUGGAUUCUGGUGAUAACUGGAUCCUCCUGUUCCCAAGGCUACCCAUCAACCCUCCAGAUCUACAGAUUGGAUUCAAAUGAGCUAAUGGAUUGCUCCUUGCAUGUGCUCAGGAGCUCACACUGCUACUGUUUCUCACAUAUCACUUGCUUGAUGGCCUAUGGGUAUCCUCAAAGCUCCUUGCUUCCUCUGGGAUCCACACUUCCUCAUGCGAAUCCAUGGAAAUAAGAAGAUAUACCUUCAUCUUCCCAAAAGAUCGGUUGGGACAGAGGUUCAUCUUGCUCCUGGGCCACUGCCACUGUUCAAGACUUGUUUGGUCAGAAGACUGCACUGGACCCUGCUUCUUCAGAAUGCUCUAAACCAAGGAGUAGCAAUAGCUUUCAAAUGCUUGAGUACCCUAAGUCUAGAGAACUCAAGUCAGUUUUUAUAGACAGUUCUCUCCCCGUAGUUUGGUCUGGCUCGUUACACUUGUAACGAAGACAUCAUACAUACACUCCCUUCUUGCAGGUACUUCUGUCUCUGUACACAGCUUUCUCAGUGAAAAGCGGAGGAAUUAAGUUUAAAAUAUAAUAUACAUAUGCAUAAAAACAUAACAAGGAAAGCCAUCAUUUUGUACAACUGAAUAAAUUAAUGAUCAUGUAGUUAAGAAAAGCAGAACUUCCUAAGUCCUUCUGCAACACAUUUGACCCCAGAUCAGGAAAUCUUAAGGAAAUGAACUUGAAUAUUGUUUCAUUUUCCUGGAACACAUUCCAUGUUUCAAAAGUCUUAGAAUAUGGACCAAAAUAAGGAUGGUUAUUUCCUUCUUAAUGAAGCUUUCAGAAAGAUAAUUUCCCAGAAAGUUUACAAAAAGAUGAAAAAGAACCACUCUUCCUUCCCAUGUUCCCCACCAGACUUGCCUUGGUUGUCUUGUGAGUUCUGUGGUCAUCUCCUAUUGUCUGGAAGCCACAGUAUCUCAGCUUUACAAAAGGAAACUCCAUGCACACCCUGUGUCACAAUACAGGAAGCUAGCCUCCUCCACCAAAGAGGAGCUUCAUCUGCCUUGACUUGUCAGCGCUUUGCAUGCUGGGAUUUAUGGAGAAUUGCUCAGGCCAUGCUAAGGAAUAUACAUGCAUAAUGGAGGCACUUCAUUAAUGGUUCAUGUGGGGGUGAAUUGUUUUACUAAUAUAAUUAGCUCAAUGAUACAGGUCCAGUAAGGAAGUGAAACCACAGAACUUCCCCACCCCCAAGAGAUGACCUAACAAAGUCAGUCAAUGUUGCAUAAUGUGAUUGUAUCAACUACCACAUAUAAGCACACCAUGCCCAGCAUGGUGGUACAUGCCUGUAAUCCCAGAUGAGACAGGUGGAGCAACCUGUGCAACAAACAUAGUGAAGCUGUGUUAAAACAUCAAAAUAAAAUACACUGGAUAAAUAAAGACCUUAUUAACCAUAAA